rnacentral:sRNA from 1 species
AUUGUUUUUUGCUGUUUGCUAAGGAGAACCACAGAAAUUUGUUCCACCUUCUGUUAGGUGGGAGAGGCAUGGUUUUUCCAGUGACUUAGGAGCCCCUCAUGCUGAUGUGUUAGGGUGACUGUUUUGAUUAUGUUGGAAUCACAGGCUAGAGCUGUCUCUUCACCCAGAUCUUCGGGGUCGGUGUGAGGACUGCUGACCGGUGGUACCGGGAAGGACUACGAACCUUGGAUGACCUCCGAGAGCAGCCCCAGAAACUAACCCAACAGCAGAAAGCGGGGCUCCAGCACCACCGGGACCUGAGCACCCCAGUCCUGCGGUCCGAUGUAGAUGCCCUGCAGCAGGCGGUGGAGGAAGCUGUGGGGCAGGUCCUGCCUGGGGCCACCGUCACGCUGACCGGCGGCUUCCGCAGGGCCAUGACGUGGACUUCCUCAUCAGCCACCCCAAGGAGGGUCAGGAGGCAGGGCUGCUGCCCAGAGUGAUGCGCUGCCU